UCCUCUCUCCUUUUCUUUUCACAUUGUAUACAUCUGACUUCACCUACAGGACUCCAACAUGUCAUAUGCAGAAAUAUUCUGAUGACACAGCUGUGGUGGCCUGUGUGAGGGGAGGGGACGAGACAGAGUACAGGGCAGUUAUCAAGGACUUUGUCUGCUCCAA